AGUGAACGUUGGCGGCGUGGAUUAGGCAUGCAAGUCGAACGCAGUGGGGGCAACUCCACUGAGUGGCGAAAGGGUGAGUAAUGCAUAAUCAAUCUGCCCCUGAGACUGGAAUAGCUACUGGAAACGGUAGGUAAUGCCAGAUGGUCCCGCUAGGUGGCAUCACCCGGCGGGUAAACGGUAGGGAUCUUCGGACCUUCUGCUCGGGGAGGAGAUUAUGUCCUAUUAGCUAGUUGGUGAGGUAACGGCUCACCAAGGCUGUGAUGGGUAGCUGGCCUGAGAGGGUGGUCAGCCACAUUGGGACUGAGACACUGCCCAAACUCUUACGGGAGGCUGCAGUCGAGAAUCUUCCGCAAUGGGCGAAAGCCUGACGGAGCGACGCCGCGUGGAGGAUCGAAGGCCUUCGGGUUGUAAACUCCUUUCGAGCGGGGACGAAUAGCCUGGCGUGAACAGCGUCGGGUGUGACUUAACCCGCAGAAGAAGCUCCGGCUAACCCUGUG
rnacentral:rRNA from 1 species